rnacentral:rRNA from 1 species
UAGGGAAUCUUCCACAAUGGACGCAAGUCUGAUGGAGCAACGCCGCGUGAGUGAAGAAGGUUUUCGGAUCGUAAAGCUCUGUUGUUGGUGAAGAAGGAUAGAGGCAGUAACUGGUCUUUAUUUGACGGUAAUCAACCAGAAAGUCACGGCUAACUACGUGCCAGCAGCCGCGGUAAUACGUAGGUGGCAAGCGUUGUCCGGAUUUAUUGGGUGUAAAGCGAGCGCAGGCGGAAUGAUAAGUCUGAUGUGAAAGCCCACGGCUCAACCGUGGAAAUGCAUCGGAAACUGUCAUUCUUGAGUGCAGAAGAGGAGAGUGGAAUUCCAUGUGUAGCGGUGGAAUGCGUAGAUAUAUGGAAGAACACCAGUGGCGAAGGCGGCUCUCUGGUCUGCAACUGACGCUGAGGCUCGAAAGCAUGGGUAGCGAACAGG